rnacentral:rRNA from 1 species
GAUGAACGCUGGCGGCGUGCCUAAUACAUGCAAGUCGAGCGAACAGACGAGGUGCUUGCUCCUCUGACGUGAGCGGCGGACGGGUGAGUAACACGUGGAUAACCUACCUAUAAGACUGGGAUAACUUCGGGAAACCGGAGCUAAUACCGGAUAAUAUAUUGAACCGCAUGGUUCAAGAGUGAAAGACGGUUUUGCUGUCACUUAUAGAUGGAUCCGCUCCGCAUUAGCUAGUUGGUAAGGUAACGGCUUACCAAGGCAACGAUGCGUAGCCGACCUGAGAGGGUGACCGGCCACACUGGAACUGAGACACGGCCCAGACUCCUACGGGAGGCAGCAGUAGGGAAUCUUCCGCAAUGGGCGAAAGCCUGACGGAGCAACGCCGCGUGAUUGAUGAAGGUCUUCGGAUCGUAAAACUCUGUUAUUAGGGAAGAACAAAUGUGUAAGUAACUAUGCACGUCUUGACGGUACCUAAUCAGAAAGCCACGGCUAACUACGUG